rnacentral:misc_RNA from 1 species
AUACUCCCGCCACCAGUUACGCUAAUAAAACCCUAGCCACCUUCUGCUCAUUUACCCACUUUGUAUUGAAAGAAGCCAAGCGGGGGAGAGAUGGCAAAAAUGGUGUCCGGGUCGGGGAUCUGUGCAAAGGUGGUGGUGGUGGACGCGCAGCAUCACAUGUGGUGGCGGUUGGCGUCGACGGUGGCGAAGCAGCUCCUGAACUGGCAGAAAGUUGUGGUGGUACGAUGCGAGGAGAUUUGCAUGUCCGGAGGAUUGGUAAGGCAGAAGAUGAAGUACA